UACAUUUUAGUAUAUAAUGUACGGGAGUUUUUGAUACUCUAGGAGAUAAUUAGGUUUGUUAAAUGUAA
rnacentral:tRNA from 1 species